rnacentral:lncRNA from 1 species
UAUGUAACAAGGAUUUUAUAUACGGAUUUUAUAUACGGAUCUGGGAAAUGGAAUUACAUACGGAUAAUCCGUAUGUAAAUAAAACAAAUUUUACAUAGGGAUAAUCCGUAUAUAAGGUCGUAUGUAACGAUUAAAAAUAUUUAGGCAGUAAUGUUUUAUACUAAUGUAAUUAAUAAUUAAAUAAUAAAACUGAAUGAUAUAGAAUAUUUGAUGAAGACACUGCUGUCAUUUUUCUCCCUCCCUUCCUCGAGCAAAGUUUCUCCUGAGCCCUAGGUUUUCCUCAUUGUCGAGCCCUAGCUUUCCCAAUCCAUGAUUCUCCCUCAGUCAAACCCGUAGUGUCGCAUUCAAGCUUUUGUUUUCCCUCAAUCCAACUGGAGUUCUGCUCGUACUCGAACCUCUCUCGAACCCUAACUUGAAGUCUCCUUUGUGGACCGUAGUGAAAGCUUCCUCUAUCGAACACAGUGAAGGUGUUGGAAGCGUUUUCAAUAAUUGUGUUGGAAGCCCGAACAAUUUGGUUCAGCAAAGACUGUCGUUCAACCUCCGUGGUUCGCUGAGACCUUCAUCUGGUAAGUAUUACAAACUUCCUUCAUUUUCUUGCAUUUUAUAAUGUUACAUUGACCAAUUAUUGUUCUUUAUUCUUUGGAGGUUGAAAAUCCCAACUUUUGAAACCCUAGGUU